UUUUUUGCUUAGAAACCUGCGUAUCAAAUAUGAUACAAAUGGUUUUAUAGGGUUAAGACAGUAGCUCUGUAUUGUUUUAUAGGUGAUAGUGAGGGUCCCAGUCUUAAAUCAAAGAAUGACACAAGUAAGAAAAAUGCAGGCUAUAUCAUAAUAUGCAGCAAUGCUGCUAUUCCACAUGGUUUUCAUGGCUUAUCUUUAGUGCUGUCACUCUAAAAAAAACAACAGAAUGAGAAUAAUCUGAAUGUUUUCCAGAUUAUGUCGAGCCCACCACAGUUACAUGGACGACUUUGGGAACCCCAGAAACACAGGACACUUUCUGGCCAAUUGUGUUUCGUGCUCUUGGAGUAAUGGUGUUUUUCAUCGCAGUGAUAGUCAUACAUGCAUGUGUUACAAGAAAGCAAGCGUGUAAAGGUGCCUGCUGUGCUGGAGAAUUCAGGAACUCAACAGAUCCAAACCACCAGCCUUCCCAUCGUGCCUCACCUAACGUGCAGAUCUAUGCCAAUGUACCAUAAUGACACACUCCACGCCUUAAAUCAAAGUUAAAUCCUGUGACAAAUUAUUCAUUUCAAGAUUGCAACCUGUAUCUGAUAUGUUACAUUUCAGUUAGGCCUGAACUAUUACUGCACUUUGCAUUUUGAUGUUUUUUGACACAAAUUAAUGUCAUUCUUUUAAAAAAAUAUAAUCUUUGUUUUACAUUUACAAAUAUAGACAAUUUCCUCAUGGUGGUGAGUUUAUUGUCAUGAAUAUUGUGACUGUUGACUCCAUUUUGUGCUUUA